UACGAAGGGGGCUAGCGUUGCUCGGAAUUACUGGGCGUAAAGCGCGCGUAGGCGGAUCUUUAAGUCAGGGGUGAAAUCCCGGGGCUCAACCCCGGAACUGCCUUUGAUACUGGGGAUCUUGAGUUCGAGAGAGGUCGGUGGAACUGCGAGUGUAGAGGUGAAAUUCGUAGAUAUUCGCAAGAACACCAGUGGCGAAGGCGGCCGACUGGCUCGACACUGACGCUGAGGCGCGAAAGCGUGGGGAGCAAACAGG
rnacentral:rRNA from 1 species